rnacentral:rRNA from 1 species
AGUAAAAGUCGUAACAAGGUCUCCGUAGGUGAACCUGCGGAGGGAUCAUUACAAGUUGACCCCGGCCCUCGGGCCGGGAUGUUCACAACCCUUUGUUGUCCGACUCUGUUGCCUCCGGGGCGACCCUGCCUCCGGGCGGGGGCCCCGGGUGGACAUUUCAAACUCUUGCGUAACUUUGCAGUCUGAGUAAAUUUAAUUAAUAAAUUAAAACUUUCAACAACGGAUCUCUUGGUUCUGGCAUCGAUGAAGAACGCAGCGAAAUGCGAUAAGUAAUGUGAAUUGCAGAAUUCAGUGAAUCAUCGAAUCUUUGAACGCACAUUGCGCCCCCUGGUAUUCCGGGGGGCAUGCCUGUCCGAGCGUCAUUUCACCACUCAAGCCUCGCUUGGUAUUGGGCGACGCGGUCCGCCGCGCGCCUCAAAUCGACCGGCUGGGUCUUUCGUCCCCUCAGCGUUGUGGAAACUAUUCGCUAAAGGGUGCCGCGGGAGGCCACGCCGUGAAACAACCCCAUUUCUAAGGUUGACCUCGGAUCAGGUAGGGAUACCCGCUGAACUUAAGCAUAUCAAUAAGCGGAGGA